rnacentral:rRNA from 1 species
GACGAACGCUGGCGGUAUGCUUUACACAUGCAAGUCAUACGGAAGUUAGUUUCGGCUAACUUCAGUGGCGGACGGGUGAGUAACACGUGAGAAUUCGCCUUUAGGAGGGGGAUAACAGGGGGAAACACCUGCUAAAACCCCAUAUGCCUUCGGGUCAAAAGAGAAAUCUGCCUAAAGAGAAGCUCGCGGCUGAUUAGCUAGUUGGUAGGGUAAAGGCCUACCAAGGCGACGAUCAGUAGCUGGUCUGAGAGGAUGAUCAGCCACACUGGAACUGAGACACGGUCCAGACUCCUACGGGAGGCAGCAGUGAGGAAUUUUCUGCAAUGGGCGAAAGCCUGACAGAGCAAUACCGCGUGAGGGAAGAAGGCUUACUGAGUUGUAAACCUCUGUUACCUAAGGAGGAAGAUCUGACGUUACUUAGGAGACGAAGCAUCGGCUAACUCCGUGCCAGCCGCCGCGGUAA